rnacentral:rRNA from 1 species
GAUGAACGCUGGCGGCGUGCCUAAUACAUGCAAGUCGAGCGAACGGACGAGAAGCUUGCUUCUCUGAUGUUAGCGGCGGACGGGUGAGUAACACGUGGAUAACCUACCUAUAAGACUGGGAUAACUUCGGGAAACCGGAGCUAAUACCGGAUAAUAUUUUGAACCGCAUGGUUCAAAAGUGAAAGACGGUCUUGCUGUCACUUAUAGAUGGAUCCGCGCUGCAUUAGCUAGUUGGUAAGGUAACGGCUUACCAAGGCAACGAUGCAUAGCCGACCUGAGAGGGUGGUCGGCCACACUGGAACUGAGACACGGUCCAGACUCCUACGGGAGGCAGCAGUAGGGAAUCUUCCGCAAUGGGCGAAAGCCUGACGGAGCAACGCCGCGUGAGUGAUGAAGGUCUCCGGAUCGUAAAACUCUGUUAUUAGGGAAGAACAUAUGUGUAAGUAACUGUGCACAUCUUGACGGUACCUAAUCAGAAAGCCACGGCUAACUACGUGCCAGCAGCCGCGGUAAUACGUAGGUGGCAAGCGUUAUCCGGAAUUAUUGGGCGUAAAGCGCGCGUAGGCGGUUUUUUAAGUCUGAUGUGAAAGCCCACGGCUCAACCGUGGAGGGUCAUUGGAAACUGGAAAACUUGAGUGCAGAAGAGAAAAGUGGAAUUCCAUGUGUAGCGGUGAAAUGCGCAGAGAUAUGGAGGAACACCAGUGGCGAAGGCGACUUUCUGGUCUGUAACUGACGCUGAUGUGCGAAAGCGUGGGGAUCAAACAGGAUUAGAUACCCUGGUAGUCCACGCCGUAAACGAUGAGUGCUAAGUGUUAGGGGGUUUCCGCCCCUUAGUGCUGCAGCUAACGCAUUAAGCACUCCGCCUGGGGAGUACGACCGCAAGGUUGAAACUCAAAGGAAUUGACGGGGACCCGCACAAGCGGUGGAGCAUGUGGUUUAAUUCGAAGCAACGCGAAGAACCUUACCAAAUCUUGACAUCCUUUGACAACUCUAGAGAUAGAGCCUUCCCCUUCGGGGGACAAAGUGACAGGUGGUGCAUGGUUGUCGUCAGCUCGUGUCGUGAGAUGUUGGGUUAAGUCCCGCAACGAGCGCAACCCUUAAGCUUAGUUGCCAUCAUUAAGUUGGGCACUCUAAGUUGACUGCCGGUGACAAACCGGAGGAAGGUGGGGAUGACGUCAAAUCAUCAUGCCCCUUAUGAUUUGGGCUACACACGUGCUACAAUGGACAAUACAAAGGGCAGCGAAACCGCGAGGUCAAGCAAAUCCCAUAAAGUUGUUCUCAGUUCGGAUUGUAGUCUGCAACUCGACUACAUGAAGCUGGAAUCGCUAGUAAUCGUAGAUCAGCAUGCUGCGGUGAAUACGUUCCCGGGUCU